rnacentral:rRNA from 1 species
UACGUAGGUGGCAAGCGUUGUCCGGAUUUACUGGGCGUAAAGGGUGCGUAGGUGGAUAUUUAAGUCAGAUGUGAAACCCCCAGGCUCAACCUGGGAACUGCAUUUGAAACUGGAUAUCUGGAGUGCAGGAGAGGUAAGUGGAAUUCCUAGUGUAGCGGUGAAAUGCGUAGAGAUUAGGAAGAACACCAGUGGCGAAGGCGACUUACUGGACUGUAACUGACACUGAGGCACGAAAGCGUGGGUAGCAAACAGG